CCUACGGGGGGCAGCAGUGGGGAAUAUUGCACAAUGGGGGAAACCCUGAUGCAGCGACGCCGCGUGAGUGAAGAAGUAAUUCGUUACGUAAAGCUCUAUCAGCAGGGAAGAAACACUGACCUUACGGUCAGCAGACGGUACCUGAGUAAGAAGCCCCGGCUAACUACGUGCCAGCAGCCGCGGUAAUACGUAGGGGGCAAGCGUUAUCCGGAUUUACUGGGUGGAAAGGGAGCGUAGACGGUGCGCCAAGACUGGAGUGAAAUGCCGCAGCUUAACUGCGGAACUGCUUUGGAAACUGGCGAACUAGAGUGCGGGAGGGGUAAGCGGAAUUCCUAGUGUAGCGGUGAAAUGCGUAGAGAUUAGGAAGAACACCAGUGGCGAAGGCGACUUACUGGACUGUAACUGACGCUGAGGCAUGAGAGCAUGGGGAGCAAACAGGAUUAGAUACCCUUGUAGUC
rnacentral:rRNA from 1 species